AACGAACGCUGGCGGCAUGCCUAACACAUGCAAGUCGAACGAGACCUUCGGGUCUAUUGGCGCACGGGUGCGUAACGCGAGGGAACCUUCCCUUAGGGUCGGAAUAACUCCCCGAAAGGGGUGCUAAUACCGGAUAAAGUCUUCUGACCAAAGAUUUAUCGCCUUUGGAUGGGCCCGCGUUGGAUUAGCUAGUUGGUAGGGUAAAAGCCUACCAAGGCGACGAUGCAUAGCUGGUCUGAGAGGAUGAUCAGCCACACUGGGACUGAGACACGGCCCAGACUCCUACGGGAGGCAGCAGUGGGGAAUAUUGGACAAUGGGCGAAAGCCUGAUCCAGCAAUGCCGCGUGAGUGAUGAAGGCCUUAGGGUUGUAAAGCUCUUUUACCCGGGCUGAUAAUGACAGUACCGGGAGAAUAAGCGCCGGCUAACUCCGUG
rnacentral:rRNA from 1 species